rnacentral:rRNA from 1 species
GCCUGACGCAGCAACGCCGCGUGGAGGAUGAAGGCCCUGGGUUGUAAACUCCUGUCGGCUGGGAAGAAGUCGUUCGCGGCUAAUACCCGCGGACGUUGACUGUACCAGCAAAGGAAGCCCCGGCUAACUCUGUGCCAGCAGCCGCGGUAAUACAGAGGGGGCCAGCGUUAUUCGGAAUUAUUGGGCGUAAAGGGCGCGUAGGCGGCCCCGCGUGUCUUCCGUGAAAUCCCUCGGCUCAACCGAGGACGUGCGGAAGAAACUGCAGGGCUCGAGUCCAGAAGAGGGGGCGGAAUUCCCAGUGUAGCGGUGAAAUGCGUAGAUAUUGGGAGGAACACCGGUGGCGAAGGCGGCCCCCUGGGCUGGUACUGACGCUGAUGCGCGAAAGCGUGGGUAGCAAACGGGAUUAGAUACCCCGGUAGUCCACGCCGUAAACGAUGGGCACUUGGUGUCGCGGGUAUCGACCCCUGCGGUGCCGAAGCUAACGCAUUAAGUGCCCCGCCUGGGGAGUACGGUCGCAAGGCUG